AACCUCAGAUCAACAAAUAAGAGCAAGUAGAUCAAAUUCCACAUAAGAAGGGUAAAUCGAUACAAUCCACACAUCACAGACAAAGAUAAGGCAAAUGCGAUGCAAAAUGCAAUAAUGAUGUCAUGUAGUCGUGAUGCAUGUCUGUCCUACGAUACACAUCUGUUGACGUAAUCAGUCCGCGCUGAAUACUCAAAUCAGA
rnacentral:lncRNA from 1 species